CCUGCCUAUAGCAAGGGGGUUGAAACUAGGUGAUCUUAAAGGUCAUUUCCAACCCAAACGAUUCUACAGUUCUAUGAUUCUAUGUGUUGCCAUCAUGUAGGGCCAGAGCCACACUCUUUUGGUAGCUGGAGAAAACCCUGUAGGACUCAAGCUGUGCAGUUCUUGACCUGCCUGCUUGAGGUUCAACCCCCAUUUCCACUGGUGAUUGCAUGCAUAAAUUAGCCCUGAACUGGCCAUGCAGGGAUGUGUGAUGUAGCUGGAGUGAACUGUAGUUGUUAGAUUUCCUUUCAAACUGAAACAUCUGUAGGGCAGAGAUCAGAAUUCCAGUUCUUCCUGUUCUCAGUGCUCUCCUGCUGGGCAUGGGAGCACUCCGCAAAGGAGCAGAGCACUAUGCAUACAUAUUUUUUGUGUUCAAAGCCUAGUUUCCUCUCCAAGAUCGAGACCUGACUCAGGAGAUGCAAACUCAAAAAGUUCAGGGACAGAAUGAUCACAAGAGCACAACUUGAGCUCCGAGGGCACAUUGCCAAGGGGUCGUACAACAAUCCGUCUCAUGGGAAAACAAUGGAAUUGAAGCUGCAGCUGGAACAAGGAGCAGGGUCAGAGCAGUGAUCAGGAAACAAACUGUUGCUUAGCAAAAUUAAAAGCAAACUUCUCUGAAUUAUACAAGUACAUCCACGGGGGAGUAGUAAAGCAGAGAGUCUGGAGGCCAGGAAGACUUGGAUUGGCUGGGGAACAUCCUGAAUGGUACAACCCUGUGCCUGGAACACUAUAAAUACAGGAAUGAGGUAGAAGGAAUGAAACUUUGGUGCUUUUUGUCUGCUUCCUGGGAGAAACGGCAAGAGCAGCAGGUGGAUUGGAGACCUUGGAAGGAGAGAAGCUUCACAUCAUCUUCUCUCCUGAUCUGCCCUCCAAACAGAUCCACCUCCCUGGGGGUCUCCCAAGAAAAUGUGGACUCCCUUCCUCCUCGGCUGCCUGGGCUACAUCUUGGGGAUAGUGGCACAACCGAAGUACCUGAUCAUCCUUCCAGCUGAACUGUCCUUCCCCUCUUCCCAGAGGGUGUGCUUGGACCUCCGUGGUGUGGAGAAGCAUAUUCGUGUGGUCUUAACUCUUGUACAUGGAUCUGGCAACCUCAGCAUCUACCGCAAGGUUGUCCAGAACAACUGGAUCUUUGAGUGCUCCAGAUUUCAGGUAAGGACUGUUCUUAGCAGGGGCUUGUAGCAGAUAGCUCCCAGAGUGCUGUUUUGGCUCAUGACUACUCUUGCCAGAGAAAUGAAGAAAGGGUGAUGGGAGGAGAGAGGGCAUGGAAAGGAGUUAAAGGAAAAUUAGGUAGAGUGUAGGUGGAUCCUUCCUUCUUGCCAUUGUCAAACUGCAUAUUUUUCCUGUUGGAUAACUCACAGUCCACGUUGGAGGCUCAGUUCAUCAAGACAAGGGCUGCCUUAACAUUCACCAAAGACCCAAGUCAGACAGAGGAGCUUAGAAACACUCAAAUGGCAGCUGUGUAUCUCAUUCUCCCCACUGAGAACGAAGCACUGUCACAGGACGUUGUGUGUGAGCUGUGAUACAGUAAGAACCAGACAUAUUAUCUCAGACAGUGUCCCACCACAACUUCUCUUUAAGGACUGUAAAAUGUGCUUUAGGACUAGGAAGAGCAUAGAAGGAUGUCUACAUAGGCUCAGCACAAGGCUUUCUGCUCUGCCAAACCCAUGAGCCUUAUUUUCCUUGUGUGA
ensembl:lncRNA